AUUGAACGCUGGCGGAAUGCUUUACACAUGCAAGUCGAACGGCAGCACGGGGGCAACCCUGGUGGCGAGUGGCGAACGGGUGAGUAAUACAUCGGAAUGUGCCCAGUCGUGGGGGAUAACGUAGCGAAAGUUACGCUAAUACCGCAUACGAUCUACGGACGAAAGCGGGGGAUGGCAAGACAUCGCGCGAUUGGAGCGGCCGAUGUCAGAUUAGGUAGUUGGGGGGGUAAAGGCCUACCAAGCCGACGAUCUGUAGCUGGUCUGAGAGGACGACCAGCCACACUGGGACUGAGACACGGCCCAGACUCCUACGGGAGGCAGCAGUGGGGAAUUUUGGACAAUGGGCGCAAGCCUGAUCCAGCCAUUCCGCGUGCAGGAUGAAGGCCUUCGGGUUGUAAACUGCUUUUGUACGGAGCGAAAAGGCUCUCUCUAAUACAGGGGGCUCAUGACGGUACCGUAAGAAUAAGCACCGGCUAACUACGUGCCAGCCGCCGCCGUAAAAC
rnacentral:rRNA from 1 species